UCAUUGCUAAACAACUUUAAUGGGUUGGUGGCAGAUAAUUGCCAAACUUAUUGAAGACCAACGAGACAAGAGAUUUCAAACAAAGGGAGACUUCCCCAUUUUAAAGCAUAACAGUCUCUGUGAGCACAGAUAGCUGCAUAGAUGCCACAAACCACCAAAACAAAAAUCUGAUGGGAAUGUCAAUUCUGUCAAGUUUUGAAAGCUCAUCCUCUGCAAUUUCCUGGAGAUGGAAAACUGCUACUUGUGCAGAUCUUCGACGGAUGCGGCCACUUGGAGUUUUCUCAAACAAAUUCUCAAAGUCUUCUUCAGGUGCCCGAAGUGGUAACUUUGCAGUGGCAGAGGAAUGUGAAAUGCAAGAAGAAAAGACUGAUGGUCAUGAAAACACACCGUCACUUGUUCUCACAAUCGUAGCUAUUAAUUCAGACAGUGAUGCCGCAGAAAAUUUAGAGAUUGGUCCAGAGGCAAGAUUGUAUCUGGUACCCGUUAAUGAACAGUUCGAUUUAUCUUCAAAGCUAGAACUAUACAAUUAAUCAAAACAUUCAGAAUGGGCAAAGACAAAGAAGCUAUACCUGAGACCUAAAACAGAAUCAUCACACAUCUGCUGUAGCUCACCUACAACUGCUCUGAUGACUGAUAUUGAUGGGCCAAAGUGCCUUUUCCUGUGCUGCAGACCUGUAUGACAGCUACAUCCAACUACACCUAGGUCUUGCUGAUGAUCUGCUGCUGAUGUCCUUGAUCCACGGGAUUAGCUCACUCGCUGCUGGCCUAUCAAGUGUCUGAGUGGCUCAAGACAUAGUGGAUCAUCCCAAAGAGAGGCAAUGUGGGGUUAUGGCAGCCCAUAUUCCACCUGAAGUAACGCUUUUAUCAUUGUCAUGAUAAUUAUCAUUAAUAAUAUAGUUUCAUGUAUCUGUAUUAAUAUCUACAAAAAAGUUAGCAUGACAAUUUCAAAUAGCAAAAUAUUAUACGUAUAAGUUUACAAGUGUAGCUCAAACUACCUACUGGGAUUUCCUGAAGUGCAUGGUCCUCUGAUUUGUGUCUUCCUUUUUGUCUGUUUUCUACUUUAUCACUUUCAGCACGUCCUAGACAAUCGAAAAACAAUGUUCAUACAGUUAUUUUCAUUAACCUCAAACAUUGCACAACAAAUAUUUAUUGGCAUCCCAGGAGACAUUUGCUGACAGACUCAGUCUGCUGAUUCAGUGAAUGAGUCACUGACCCUUUCAGAUUGUUGGACCAUAAGACUGUUAUUCACUUCUUGGCUUAAAUAAAUGGAAGUAUGACAAGAUGGUUUUUAAUGUCCUAAAAUAUGCAUUAAUUAGAUAGUACAAAGAUAGCAGUUUGUUUGAUCAUUAAAGAACUGCAUACCACAUUGACAGAGUAAGUAAGCAUUUAAAAAUGUUUGUAUAAUUGUUGUUUAUGACCAGGAUCUGAAAUUUCCCAUAACACCAAAUAAUCAUUCAAUUGAUUAAUGCACUUCCCACACACAUGCACGUGUUCCCAGCUUUGAUCCUGGCCCAUGUUGUGUUCACUGAUCUCAGUCAAGAUGGGCAGUUGUAUGAAUGGUACAAGUGACACUGCUGCAGCAUUUUGUGAGUAAAGAGAAAAUAACCUCAGCUAUGUAUGAGUGUUGUCCAGUGACACAUUUGGUAAAAUGCAUAAGUAUUUAUACUGGAUGGAACCAAGGUCGGCCUUUGUGAUGUAACUGCCCGUUACCACUAAGCCCCUUGAAUGUUCGGGGAUGAACACAGGUUUUUUUUUAGACCAACAAAAUAUUCUAUAUGAGGAAAUGAUUUUAACUGUCAAAACAUUUAUAUUUGGGAUGAACCAGUUGCAAGUGAAAAUGAUUGGCAACUCAACUGAAAUUUUUGAGAUAUACUGGUAGUAAACAUGGAUACCAGCGCGAGAGAUAUGUCACAAAGCUAGUCCAUUUUGUUUCUAAACGCUGUUCCUUGGCUCAAGGAUACGCUGUCCUUGAUG